GUGGGGAAUCUUGCGCAAUGGGCGAAAGCCUGACGCAGCCAUGCCGCGUGAAUGAUGAAGGUCUUAGGAUUGUAAAAUUCUUUCACCGGGGACGAUAAUGACGGUACCCGGAGAAGAAGCCCCGGCUAACUUCGUGCCAGCAGCCGCGGUAAUACGAAGGGGGCUAGCGUUGCUCGGAAUUACUGGGCGUAAAGGGCGCGUAGGCGGACAGUUUAGUCAGAGGUGACAGCCCAGGGCUCAACCUUGGAAUUGCCUUUGAUACUGGCUGACGUGAGUACGGGAGAGGUGAGUGGAACUCCGAGUGUAGAGGUGAAAUUCGUAGAUAUUCGGAAGAACACCAGUGGCGAAGGCGACUCACUGGCCCGUUACUGACGCUGAGGCGCGAAAGCGUGGGGAGCAAACAGGAUUAGAUACCCCAGUAGUCC
rnacentral:rRNA from 1 species